GGCGAACGCUGGCGGCAGGCCUAACACAUGCAAGUCGAACGAACUCUUCGGAGUUAGUGGCGGACGGGUGAGUAACACGUGGGAACGUGCCUUUAGGUUCGGAAUAACUCAGGGAAACUUGUGCUAAUACCGAAUGUGCCCUUCGGGGGAAAGAUUUAUCGCCUUUAGAGCGGCCCGCGUCUGAUUAGCUAGUUGGUGAGGUAAAGGCUCACCAAGGCGACGAUCAGUAGCUGGUCUGAGAGGAUGAUCAGCCACAUUGGGACUGAGACACGGCCCAAACUCCUACGGGAGGCAGCAGUGGGGAAUCUUGCGCAAUGGGCGAAAGCCUGACGCAGCCAUGCCGCGUGAAUGAUGAAGGUCUUAGGAUUGUAAAAUUCUUUCACCGGGGACGAUAAUGACGGUACCCGGAGAAGAAGCCCCGGCUAACUUCGUG
rnacentral:rRNA from 1 species